CCUACGGGAGGCAGCAGUGGGGAAUAUUGGUCAAUGGGCGAAAGCCUGAACCAGCAACGCCGCGUGAAGGAUGAAGGUUUUCGGAUUGUAAACUCCUUUUGUUAGAGAAGAUAAUGACGGUAUCUAACGAAUAAGCACCGGCUAACUCCGUGCCAGCAGCCGCGGUAAUACGGAGGGUGCAACCGUUACUCGGAAUUACUGGGCGUAAAGAGAGCGUAGGCGGGAUAGCAAGUCAGAUGUGAAAUCCUAGGGCUUAACCAUAGAACUGCAGUUGAAACUGUUAGUCUAGAGUAGGGGAGAGGUAGGUGGAAUUCUUGGUGUAGGGGUAAAAUGCGUAGAGAUCAAGAGGAAGACCCAUUGCGAAGGCGACCUGCUAGAACCUAACUGACGCUGAGGCGCGAAAGCGUGGGUAGCGAAAGGGAUUAGAUACCCCAGUAGUC
rnacentral:rRNA from 1 species